rnacentral:lncRNA from 1 species
AUUACAUUUGAAUUACAUUCUAAUGACAGCUAUGAAAGUUUUAAAUUAGCUAACUAAAGAAUUUCCCGCCUCGGCUCAAGGAUACAGUCUAUGCCAAACCUAGUCAGUCGAGCUGCAACGGUUUACGUCGACGACCGCCUCAGUGGUUCAGGGCUCUGAAGUAAAUGUUCUCUAAACUUAUAUGUUUUCUAAAUUGUUGUUGCUAGCAUCUGGAAUCUUGAUUUAAGAUCGUGAAUGUUUUUGUUCAUCGGGACAACUUAACUUUUUCAUGAUGUGAAAAACUGAGGGCUGCUUCGACGGUGAGGUGAAUUCGAUUCCGGUCUGUUCAAGUCAGCUGAUGGGUUUGUUCAACAAGUUCUGUCUGCAAUAUUUCAGCGAGGAUGACAAUCAGAUAUUCCAGUGGACCAGACAUUCACUAUUUUGAGGUGGAGAGUCCCUGUGGGGCCCAUGAAGCUACUGUGCCACCGCAGUCUUAACAGCUUCUGCAGACUCCAGCGGGAUGCGUCCACUGAUAGAGGAAGCCCAGGAGAACAACAGAGACAGAACAAUCCUGCAGCAGCCGAGUCCAUCCAGGGCUGCUGUUGGUCAGGCCGUGCCUGAAGCUGGAGCUGCGGUGUGCUGGUGCCGAGGUCAGACGCUGCCACUGUGGGUUAGGCUGCUGGUCUGAUCCGUGUUGACAGUGCAGAUUCCUGUCAAGCCCAAGGAGACAAGCAGUGCUUCCAGCUAGAGAGUGAACCUUCGCACUGACCACUGCUGGAAGGAUGGGUGAGUCACAUCUCCAGUCUUCCAUUCGAUCG